rnacentral:rRNA from 1 species
GGACUACUGGGGUUUCUAAUCCUGUUUGCUCCCCACGCUUUCGCGCCUCAGCGUCAGUUACAGCCCAGAGAGUCGCCUUCGCCACUGGUGUUCCUCCACAUAUCUACGCAUUUCACCGCUACACGUGGAAUUCCACUCUCCUCUUCUGCACUCAAGUCGCCCAGUUUCCAGUGCGAACCAGGGUUGAGCCCUAGCCUUAAACACCAGACUUAAGUGACCGCCUGCGCGCGCUUUACGCCCAAUAAUUCCGGACAACGCUUGCCCCCUACGUAUUACCGCGGCUGCUGGCAC